CCCGCGUAGUAGGCGACUUUCCCCUCUCUUCUAGCUGCUUGGACCAAAGCCUCGGCGAUGCUCUGCUUUCCCGCUCCGCCGUAGAUGGCGCUCCUGUAGGAUGGGAUUCUUUUUCGCGGCUUUCCACACGGCGUCUCGGUGAACCCCGAGAAGCUGCAGAGCGUCCAGCAGAAGCUGGAGGCCUUCCUGGCACAGGAGAAGGAGCAGAAGGAGCGGGCUCAGCGCUGUUUUGUCUCCUACCUGCGCUCUGUCCACCUGAUGAAGAACAAAGCCGUGUUUGACGUCUCCAAACUCAACAUCAACCAGUACGCCCUGUCGCUGGGGCUUGUCGUGGUGCUACGGGUACGCUUUCUACAUAAAACUCAUGGCAAUU